CUACGGGCGGCUGCAGUGGGGAAUAUUGCACAAUGGAGGAAACUCUGAUGCAGCAACGCCGCGUGGAGGAUGACACUUUUCGGAGCGUAAACUCCUUUUAUAUAGGAAGAAGAUGACGGUACUAUAUGAAUAAGCGCCGGCUAACUCCGUGCCAGCAGCCGCGGUAAUACGGAGGGCGCAAGCGUUACUCGGAAUCACUGGGCGUAAAGAGCGUGUAGGCGGAUUAAAAAGUCAGAAGUGAAAUCCUAUAGCUUAACUAUAGAACUGCUUCUGAAACUCUUAAUCUAGAAUAUGGGAGAGGUAGAUGGAAUUUCUGGUGUAGGGGUAAAAUCCGUAGAGAUCAGAAGGAAUACCGAUUGCGAAGGCGAUCUACUAGAACAGUAUUGACGCUGAGACGCGAAAGCGUGGGGAGCAAACAGGAUUAGAUACCCGGGUAGUC
rnacentral:rRNA from 1 species